AUUGAACGCUGGCGGCAGGCCUAACACAUGCAAGUCGAACGAGUGGCGGACGGGUGAGUAAUGUCUGGGACACUGCCUGAUGGAGGGGGAUAACUACUGGAAACGGUAGCUAAUACCGCAUACCAUCAGAUGUGCCCAGAUGGGUUUAGCUUGUUGGUGGGGUAACGGCUCACCAAGGCGACGAUCCCUAGCUGGGCUGUGAGGAUGACCAGCCACACUGGAACGGAGACACGGUCCAGACUACUACGGGAGGCAGCAGAGGGGAAUAUAGCACAAGGGGAGCAAGCCUGAUGCAACCAUGCCGCGUAGAUGGAGGAGGCCUGGGGGUUGUAAAGUACUUUCAGCGGGGAGGCGGUACCCGCAGAAGAAGCACCGGCUAACUCCGUGCCAGCAGCCGCGGUAAUUC
rnacentral:rRNA from 1 species